rnacentral:rRNA from 1 species
AGCAGUCGCCACGGGAAUACGUAGGUGGCAAGCGUUGUCCGGAAUUAUUGGGCGUAAAGGGCUCGCAGGCGGUUUCUUAAGUCUGAUGUGAAAGCCCCCGGCUCAACCGGGGAGGGUCAUUGGAAACUGGGAAACUUGAGUGCAGAAGAGGAGAGUGGAAUUCCACGUGUAGCGGUGAAAUGCGUAGAGAUGUGGAGGAACACCAGUGGCGAAGGCGACUCUCUGGUCUGUAACUGACGCUGAGGAGCGAAAGCGUGGGGAGCGAACAGGAUUAGAUACCCGUGUAGUCCCUGUCUCUUAUAC